GUUCCAGUUUGGAUACUGUGGCUAACAGGAGCAAAGGCUGUGGCAAGGACUGGGAACACAGGAGCGUUGUAGAAAACUCAGCCCCAUGGAGCCCACAGCCAGUGCCAUGUGUGAUGAGGACCAGACCGCCUCGCUCACGUGUGACAACUCAGGCGUGGCAAAGGCCGGCUUCACUGGGGAGGGAGGGCCCACACCCUGAAGCUGACAGAUCUCUGAGUGCUGCUGCUCCCUCCACACCAGCCCCCAGGGCAACGGCGGCUGAGCAGGAGGUGCAUCAGGGAAAAGCUGGGGCCCAGGGCCCUGGGCUCUGAACACGAGAUGGCUCUGGCUGCCUCCUCCUCUCCAGAGAACUAGGAGCUGGCUGCAGGGCAGCCCCCUGCGUGGGACAGAUCAACAUGAGCAAGCGCGGCACUGCGCCCGCACACAGGAGCACCGAGUGUGAGCUGUCACCGGCACGUCAGGCGCUCAUCAAAGGCCAGUUUCGGGCUGUCCAGUCGACAGGGCUCCCGGCCGCACCCUCCCAGCCUCCCAGCCCCUGGCCUCUGCUGCCCUCGGAGAGGAAGCGCAGGAACGAGGGCAC